rnacentral:rRNA from 1 species
GAACGCUGGCGGCGUGCCUAAUACAUGCAAGUCGAGCGACCAGACGAGGAGCUUGCUCCUCUGACGUUAGCGGCGGACGGGUGAGUAACACGUGGAUAACCUACCUAUAAGACUGGGAUAACUUCGGGAAACCGGAGCUAAUACCGGAUAAUAUAUUGAACCGCAUGGUUCAAUAGUGAAAGACGGUUUUGCUGUCACUUAUAGAUGGAUCCGCGCCGCAUUAGCUAGUUGGUAAGGUAACGGCUUACCAAGGCAACGAUGCGUAGCCGACCUGAGAGGGUGAUCGGCCACACUGGAACUGAGACACGGUCCAGACUCCUACGGGAGGCAGCAGUAGGGAAUCUUCCGCAAUGGGCGAAAGCUUGACGGAGCAACGCCGCGUGAGUGAUGAAGGUCUUCGGAUCGUAAAACUCUGUUAUUAGGGAAGAACAAAUGUGUAAGUAACUAUGCACGUCUUGACGGUACCUAAUCAGAAAGCCACGGCUAACUACGUG